AACUUUCAACAACGGAUCUCUUGGUUCCGGCAUCGAUGAAGAACGCAGCGAAAUGCGAUAAGUAAUGUGAAUUGCAGAAUUCCGUGAAUCAUCGAAUCUUUGAACGCACAUUGCGCCCUCUGGUAUUCCGGGGGGCAUGUCUGUUCGAGCGUCAUUG
rnacentral:rRNA from 1 species